CUUGCAUAUAAUGUUGUCGGUUUUUUUAUUAGCAAUGCCUGUCACCUAUUUCUUGUAAGUUUUGAACUUCCUAUGCCUUUAACUUUUACCUAAUUUUUCAGAAAGAGCUUGGAAUUAUUUUGACGCCUCCAACUGGUAAAGAAAGAGCAGAAUCCUGGAUUGGACUAGAAGCAGUACGUCAUUUGCAGAUAAAAUUUGAAGACCAUAGGAGGCCUGCUUGUGGCAUUGCAAUUUCUGGUCUGGGGUGGAUAGUUGUGGAACCAAGUGGCAUGCAACUUGAGACUGAUUCGAAUAAUGCGAAAGAUGAUAGCACGAGGGAAUUGCAUGUGGCUGUACAUGUUCCCAAGCCCGUGGAGAUUUUUGUCCAGCCCCCAAUGCCUGUUGGUAAAACUGGUGGAGAAUGGUAUCAUUAUCAAGAGUUAACGAAGAAGGAAGAAGAACUGGGACCUCAAUGGUUUUAUUGAUGUUCGAUUGCGUAACCUUGUGGUGUUUUUUCAAUUUUUGUUCUACAAAUAUGAUGCUUUCGUCUCAUUAAUAAGUAGCUUAAUUCAUAAGAUUAAUCCCUCAUUUUAUGUAGAUACAGCAAAAUCCAUAUUGUUGGACAAAAUAUUCCUGUGGAAUAAUUGAUCGUAAGGAAUACAGUUUAAAAUUGCAUGAUUAGCCAGGAUUCA